GUUCCCUAAAGAUGAUAUAGAAUGACUAACAUUAUUCUCGGAUUUUGCUUUGAUGGACACUACCUCGAUGAAGGCAUGGCCUGCUUCGCCUCUUCCACAGCCAACUGCCAAGUCUUUCGUCCACUUUUGAUUGCUUGCUGAAGGGACUUGAAAAUUUUGCUUUUGCUCAAAACCUGAAAUCAUUUUAGUUCUUCUACACCUCCAUUGAAAGGAAACAAGACAUUUGCAGACAGCCAGCUUCUUGAUCCAUUAUCUCCAAAGAAUUCAACAUGGAAUAGUCUGAUUUCUGUCUUUCCUGUCACUAGAAACAAAAUUACCAGGGUUAACAUAAAUUCUAAGGGAUCCUGAGUAAUAAGUGAAGGCCAUAGAGGGUAACCAGAAAUGUAGGCCCAGACUAAAUCACCAAUUGUAAAAGGUAGGCUUAAAUCUAGGGAUAUGUCUGCAGCCACAGCCCCUGGCUG